GACCAGACUCCUACGGGAGGCAGCAGUGAGGAAUAUUGGUCAAUGGGCGCAGGCCUGAACCAGCCAAGUCGCGUGAGGGAAGACUGCCCUAUGGGUUGUAAACCUCUUUUAUAAGGGAAGAAUAAUGACUACGUGUAGUCAGAUGCCCGUACCUUAUGAAUAAGCAUCGGCUAACUCCGUGCCAGCAGCCGCGGUAAUACGGAGGAUGCGAGCGUUAUCUGGAUUUAUUGGGUUUAAAGGGUGCGUAGGCGGACGCUUAAGUCAGCGGUAAAAUUGCGGGGCUCAACCUCGUCGAGCCGUUGAAACUGGGUGCCUUGAGUGGGCGAGAAGUACGCGGAAUGCGUGGUGUAGCGGUGAAAUGCAUAGAUAUCACGCAGAACUCCGAUUGCGAAGGCAGCGUACCGGCGCCCAACUGACGCUGAAGCACGAAGGCGUGGGUAUCGAACAGGAUUAGAUACCCGCGUAU
rnacentral:rRNA from 1 species